rnacentral:rRNA from 1 species
UACGGGGGGGGCAAGCGUUGUUCGGAAUUACUGGGCGUAAAGGGCUCGUAGGCGGCCAACUAAGUCGGAUGUGAAAUCCCCGGGCUUAACCUGGGAACUGCAUCCGAUACUGGAUGGCUUGAAUUCGGGAGAGGGAUGCAGAAUUCCAGGUGUAGCGGUGAAAUGCGUAGAUAUCUGGAGGAAUACCGGUGGCGAAGGCGGCAUCCUGGACCGACAUUGACGCUGAGUGAGCGAAAGCUAGGGGAGCAAACGGG